rnacentral:rRNA from 1 species
UAAGGAAUAUUGGUCAAUGGACGCAAGUCUGAACCAGCCAUGCCGCGUGGAGGAUGAAGGCCCUCUGGGUUGUAAACUUCUUUUAUUUGGGAAGAAACCACUCUUUUCUAAGGGUGUUGACGGUACCAUUUGAAUAAGCACCGGCUAACUCCGUGCCAGCAGCCGCGGUAAUACGGAGGGUGCAAGCGUUAUCCGGAUUCACUGGGUUUAAAGGGUGCGUAGGUGGGCAGGUAAGUCAGUGGUGAAAUCUCUGGGCUUAACCCAGAAACUGCCGUUGAUACUAUCUGUCUUGAAUGUAGUGGAGGUGAGCGGAAUAUGUCAUGUAGCGGUGAAAUGCUUAGAUAUGACAUAGAACACCCAUUGCGAAGGCAGCUCGCUACACUAUUAUUGACACUGAGGCACGAAAGCGUGGGGAUCAAACA